GGGAUUGCCCCAGUAACGGCGAGUGAAGCGGCAACAGCUCAAAUUUGAAAUCUGGCCCCCUAGGGGGUCCGAGUUGUAAUUUGCAGAGGAUGCUUUUGGCGAGGCGCCGGCCGAGUGCCCUGGAAUGGGACGCCGUAGAGGGUGAGAGCCCCGUACGGCCGGACGUCGAGCCUCUGUAAAGCUCCCUCGACGAGUCGAGUAGUUUGGGAAUGCUGCUCUAAACGGGAGGUAAACCCCUUCUAAAGCUAAAUACCGGCCAGAGACCGAUAGCGCACAAGUAGAGUGAUCGAAAGAUGAAAAGCACUUUGAAAAGAGAGUUAAACAGCACGUGAAAUUGUUGAAAGGGAAGCGCUUGUGGCCAGACUUGCGCCCGGCGGCUCAGCCGUCCCUCGUGGGCGGUGCACUCCGCCGGGCUCAGGCCAGCAUCAGCUCGCUGCUGGGGAGAAAGGCGGUGGGAACGUGGCUCUUCGGAGUGUUAUAGCCCGCCGCCAUGCCCUCCAGCGGGCUGAGGUUCGCGCCUUAGGGCAAGGAUGCUGGCGUAAUGGCCAUCAGCGACCCGUCUUGAAACACGGACCAAGGAGUCGUCCUAGCAUGCGAGUGUUCGGGUGCCAAACCCCUACGCGAAAUGAAAGUGAACGGAGGUGAGAGCUUCGGCGCAUCAUCGACCGAUCCUGAUGUUUUCGGAUGGAUUUGAGUAGGAGCAUGCUGGGCCGGACCCGAAAGAAGGUGAACUAUGCUUGGAUAGGGCAAAGCCAGAGGAAACUCUGGUGGAGGCUCGCAGCGGUUCUGACGUGCAAAUCGAUCGUCAAAUCUGAGCAUGGGGGCGAAAGACUAAUCGAACCUUCUAGUAGCUGGUUUCCGCCGAAGUUUCCCUCAGGAUAGCAGUGUUGAGCUUCAGUUUUAUGAGGUAAAGCGAAUGAUUAGGGACUCGGGGGCGCUAUUUAGCCUUCAUCCAUUCUCAAACUUUAAAUAUGUAAGAAGCCCUCGUU
rnacentral:rRNA from 1 species